rnacentral:rRNA from 1 species
UACGUAGGGCGCAAGCGUUAUCCGGAAUUAUUGGGCGUAAAGAGCUCGUAGGCGGUUUGUCGCGUCUGCCGUGAAAGUCCGGGGCUCAACUCCGGAUCUGCGGUGGGUACGGGCAGACUAGAGUGAUGUAGGGGAGACUGGAAUUCCUGGUGUAGCGGUGAAAUGCGCAGAUAUCAGGAGGAACACCAGCGGCGAAGGCGGCGCUCUGGGCCGGAACUGACGCUGAGGAGCGAAAGCGUGGGGAGCGAACAGG